rnacentral:rRNA from 1 species
AUUAGAUACCCUGGUAGUCCACGCCGUAAACUAUGGAUGCUAGCUGUUAUUCGUAUCGACCCGAGUAGUAGCGAAGCUAACGCGUUAAGCAUCCCGCCUGUGGAGUACGGUCGCAAGACUAAAACAUAAAGGAAUUGACGGGGACCCGCACAAGCGGUGGAGCGUGUUGUUUAAUUCGAUGGUAAGCGAAGAACCUUACCCAGACUUGACAUCCUUGGAAGCACUGCGAAAGCAGAGUGUGCCUCCGGGAACCAAGUGACAGGUGUUGCAUGGCCGUCGUCAGCUCGUGUCGUGAGAUGUUUGGUUAAGUCCAUCAACGAGCGCAACCCUUGUGGCUAGUUGAAUUUUUCUAGUCAGACUGCCCUGGUAACAGGGAGGAAGGAGGGGAUGAUGUCAGGUCAGUAUUACCCUUACGUCUGGGGCUACAAACACGCUACAAUGGCCGGUACAAAGGGCUGCCAAGUCGCGAGACGGAGCAAAUCCCAUCAAAACCGGUCCCAGUUCGGAUUGCAGGCUGAAACUCGCCUGCAUGAAGUCGGAAUCGCUAGUAACGGUAGGUCAGCACACUACCGUGAAUACGUUCCCGGGUCUUGUACACACCGCCCGUCAAACCAUGAAAGUCGCCAAUACCUGACGUCUUAGCUAGUCUAGGCCUAAGGUAGGGGAGAUGAUUGGGGUUAAGUCGUAACAAGGUACA